CAUUGGUUUAAAGGUUAAACGUUUGUGUGCAAAAUUAUAGGUUCUGGGUUUGAUUCCCAGAUG
rnacentral:tRNA from 1 species